CUUCCUUUAUGAGAUCAUUGCUUUCAGUAUAGCAAUGAGUAGAGAGAGGUAUGUAAAGAUGUGAAAUGGAGAAAUGCAGAUUCUUCCAUUCUCUCCUAGUUUCUGUGAAAUGGACCCUGCGUAUGCAUAUACACACCUUGUUUUGCCUUCUUUGAAAUCCUAGUGGUGGCUGCAGGAACUGAUGUGCUGUAUGCUUUGGUGAAUGCUCUCCUGCGUAGUCCAGGGCCAGCGAGAAAAUGUGUUGUAGAGUAUUCACGACAGCUUCGAAGACUGUCAAUGUGUGAAGUUUCCACUGAAAUCCUAGGUUACAGGUGAAUAGGCAGCGUGUGCCCACUGUUGUGACGUUCCUCUUCCCUUCAUUGAUACUAACCAAUAUACAGAAGUAAUCUUGUCAGUAUUCUGCUAAUCACAUGGUCAUAACCAAUAGAGUUUAUGUCAGGUGUAUAGACAUCCUUCUUUCUGGUAGCUACCAAAAGCAAGAGAGCAAACAGAAAAUGACUCCAUAUGUUACUACACACUAACUGGACAGACAUGUUAAAGAAUGUCUCUGCAGUAGGAAGUCUGUUUUAGCUUGCUGAGUGAUUUUCAAGUCUCAGCAAUGACUAUUAGGAUCACCUGAAUUCACCAGCUGCAGAUGGCUUCAGAGAGUCUUUUAAGAUAAUCAAUGAAUUAGGAACAAACUUCAGUCCAGGUAAGAUCAAUGUGAUUUAUUUAUUUAUUUAUUUCCUUUCAAACCACCACUGAAAAUUUAGAUGCAAUGUAUUUAGAUUAAACACUUCUGAACCACAUGCUUGGUUAUUUCCAUUUAAGUCAACAGUGCUACUCAUAUGAGAAACUGAAUAGGUACCAGUUAUUUGUGGGCUACUGUUCUGCCUUUCUGAACGCUAACAGUCUGCAAACUACAAGCUGAGAAAGACCGCCUUGGAGGAAUUAAGAAGUGUAGAAAGACCCUUCACUGGAGAGCCAACUGGCAGACAGAAGGUUGAAAAUCAGUGAGCAAGACAGCAAUAGAAGAUAGUUUAUAGAUCAGCACAUAGUAUCAGUAACUUAGCCCUACGUGGCUUCUCCUUCCUGCCCUUGGACUGCUUUGUGAAGCCUUUCAUGGCUAGAUGCAGGUCGUUUGGUGAUCUCAGUUCCUCUUCUUUUAGCACUUCAACACAUAACAGCUCCAGGAA
rnacentral:lncRNA from 1 species